CGUGAGCGGCGGACGGGUGAGUAACGCGUGGGUAACCUGCCUCAUACAGGGGGAUAACAGUUGGAAACGGCUGCUAAUACCGCAUAAGCGCACAGUACCGCAUGGUACGGUGUGAAAAACUCCGGUGGUAUGAGAUGGACCCGCGCUGAUUAGGUAGUUGGUGGGGUAACGGCCUACCAAGCCGACGAUCAGUAGCCGACCUGAGAGGGUGACCGGCCACAUUGGGACUGAGACACGGCCCAA
rnacentral:rRNA from 1 species